AGCAGCCGCGGUAAUUCCAGCUCCUAUAGCGUAUAUUAAAGUUGUUGCAGUUAAAAAGCUCGUAGUUGAACUUCAGACCCGGCCGGGCGGUCCGCCUAACGGUGUGUACUGUCUGGCUGGGCCUUACCUCUUGGUGAGCCGGCAUGCCCUUCACUGGGUGCGUCGGGGAACCAGGACCUUUACCUUGAGAAAAUUAGAGUGUUCAAAGCAGGCUUACGCCGGAAUACAUUAGCAUGGAAUAAUAAAAUAGGACGUGCGGUUCUAUUUUGUUGGUUUCUAGAGUCGCCGUAAUGAUUAAUAGGGAUAGUUGGGGGCAUUUGUAUUGCGUUGCUAGAGGUGAAAUUCUUGGAUUUACGCAAGACAAACUAUUGCGAAAGCAUUUGCCAAGGAUGUUUUCAUUAAUCAAGAACGAAGGUUAGGGGAUCGAAAACGAUCAGAUACCGUUGUAGUCUUAACAGUAAACUAUGCCUACUAGGGAUCGGACGACCUCAAUCUUAUGCGAUCG
rnacentral:rRNA from 1 species